GGAGGCGUAUGGGUUCCUGGUGGGCCCCCCGGUCUUCAAAACCGAGGAGGCCGAGCAGCUCGGUCUGGCGGGUUCGAUUCCCGUCCGCCUCCGCCA
rnacentral:tRNA from 2 species